rnacentral:lncRNA from 1 species
UGCGUUUUAAAGAUAAAAUUUUAGCCCAAUUCUAAGGCUUUGAUAAAUCAGUUAUUCGUUCCCAAAAUAUAUGUAGAUACAUGUUCUACAUUUUUAUGGGAAAUACAACAUGAUUUUUAUCUGUCCUUUAGAUAUUUGUGCAUAUAAAUUAAAAUAUUAAAUUCAUUUUUUUUUUAUUCAAUAACAUACAUAAAAAAAAUACACAAACACACACAUCUCCUUUUCUAUUAUUAUUUUCUCCUUCUUUUCUUUUCUUUUUUCCUUUUUUACAUCCACAGUACAAAAUACAAUUUCUAAACAAACUAAACAAAAAUUACAAUAAAAUUACAAUAACACCCCCAAAACAAUCUGGAAAUUACAGGGAACACCUUCUGCAAGCCGGAACAGUGUUCAGCAGGAUUUCUGGGCGCAAGAACAGUGGCGGUGCGUCCUUCCACGCGCCACCAUUGCUGGCGGCGCGUGGACCCACGCGCAGCCGCAAGAAAUUCCAGGCAGCGGGGGCGUCUGGAGCAGCUUCCUCCCCUCUUCCUUUUCCUCGCCGGCGGCGACAACACCGUUACCUGCAAAACAAUCAAAACGCAACACAGGCAGUUGAUUUUAGUUUUCAUUUCCUUUGUUUUUUUCAAAUCUUCUUCGGUUUCUUCCCUUUUUUUAAAUCUGUCCCGUUUCUCUGCCUCCUCUGCAGAUCGGUCAUCUUCUUCUUCUUUCGGUGGCAGAUCCGCCGUGGAGGACCCAGCGUCGUGGGUGAGGAGGCGGCGUCGCUGUUAUGGGAAAGAGACGUCGCUGCAAGGCUGGCGGAGUUUGCUGCUGGAGACCGGUCUGCGGGUUAGGAGAUCGCCUUCUUCUCCUCUGUUUCGGGUGGCAGAUCGGGUCUGUGAGAGAGGAGCUGCUGCUGGGUCGUUGAUGACGGGUGGAAGAGAUGACUGGUCUUGGCUGGUCUGCGGCCGUUGCUGUUGAAGGAAACGAAGGUGAAGAAGAUGCUGCUACUGCUGGGGGAGGAGCUGCGGAAGAAGGGAGCCGCUGUGGAGGCUGUUGUCUGCUGGAGGAAGACGGUGCUGCUUCACGGGGAGGGGCCGUCGCUGCUGGAAGAAGAAGAAAACCAGAGGGCAAAGGGGAGUGGCCGGUCUCUGUUUGUGUUGCCAGAGAGGGAAGGUCCGGAGCUGGAGGGGAAAAGCUGGGACGGUGAUGAGAGGAAAUGGGGGAAAUGUUGAGCCGGCUGGAGAGGGAAAGACGAAGUGGCUGAGAAGGGGAGGCUUGUGUGCCGUCCAAAGAGCCAAGCUCUAGGAUGGCGAGAAGAAGGAAAAAAUCUGAUGAAGGAUGGGGGGUGGCGGCUCCGGUUGAGGGAGAAGAAAAAAUGAUAAGCUUUUAGGGUUUCUCUUUUUGUUGCCCCUUUUAAUUGCCAAAUUGCCCCCCC